rnacentral:miRNA from 1 species
AAGCCAGGAGAGUCUUGCUCUUCCUUUUGCUGAACCGGGAGAGCAAGACUCUCCUGGGUU